rnacentral:rRNA from 1 species
AGAGUUUGAUCCUGGCUCAGGAUGAACGCUGGCGGCGUGCUUAAUACAUGCAAGUCGAGCGGCAGCGCGAUCUUCGGAUUGGCGGCGAGCGGCGGACGGCUGAGUAACGCGUAGGAACCUACCCCGAACUGAGGGAUAAGCACCAGAAAUGGUGUCUAAUACCGCAUGCGCUCUUCGGAGCAAAGCUUCGGCGGUUUGGG